AUUCCAUCUCCGUCUCUUAGACACAACCAUCAGAUCUCUCAAGGCAAAAGUCAGAUCUGUUCAGGAUCAGACAUUCCUGUUUCUCCAUCGCAUGACUAAAGUCAGAUCCCAUCCCCAGAACAACGUCACACAUGAGUAGCGUGAUCUCCACGCAUGUGUCAGUCUUGCGUCCCGGCAAACCCAAACAUGACAUGAGGAGAAAAAGCGCAUGCAGACCAGAGCCGUGAUAAAACUCUUAACAAUGCUCUCAAAGCAAUCAACCCGUGACAGCGUCAAAAAAAGACACGGGCAAGAAAACACAGAUGUGGUUCUCACCGUUGCAUUUGUGCUGGUUUACAGCUGAGUAAGUGGGAUAUUUGACACCCUUUGUGUUUAAGAAAAGCAUGAUUCUCAAAUGUAAAUUCUGUA